AGCAAAGCCAGGAUUUGAACCAGAGACCUGGACUGCAGAGUGGUCAUUAUAGGAAGGGGCAGCCAGAAAGGGCAGAGGUGAGGAUGGGGUGCCAAUCGAACAGAACCCAGAGUUUUGUCUGUUCUUAGAGAUGAGAGGAACCCUCUGAAGAAGAUGGUUAAGACCUCAAGGUCAAUCCCCUUGACAGCAGCUGGUGCUCUGAGCCAUCCCAGGUGCGUGUAGCGUGGGGGGAGUAGCUUCUCCCGUCUUUCAGAGUCUCUGUUGAAAGAGAUCUUCCAACCUUUUGCCCAACUCUGAUACAUUUCAGGCAGUCCAGCCCCAGAAACUAGGGGACCAGGCUCCACCGGGGGCAGCAUCUAGUGUCUCAGGAUAUGGAGGGAAGGGUCCUCUGUACACUCAUGCUAGGGAUUGGAGCGAGGAGCUGGAUGGCAGCGCUGCUGACUUGCAAGAGAUAUCUGCUGGCUCACGGACAGUGUGAAGGAAAGCUUGUAAUUGCAGCCAUAAAUCAAAUGCAGACAGAGGAAAGCUGUCAGACUUUCUGGAGUUAUUUUGUACAGAGAGGAGGAGAUCAACUCUUAAGCCUCUGGAGAUUGUGCCUGGAACCACUGCAAGCAUCUAGCGACCAGCCCAAGGCUGACAAAAGCACUGAGGAGAGCAGAGCAGAGAGGUAGAAAGAACCUGGGUGUUUGGUGAUGUCAUUAAGCUGCAAAAUGAACCAUUGCUGGAGCCAGCUUACCUUGUGAUUGCUUGUUUUGUGGGAACCUUGCUUCAAUACGUGAUAUCAAUUGGAAUGAUGGGAUAGUUUGCAUGUCUUAGGCACCCUGAAGUGGGCCAUAGCCAGUGCUUUCAGCCGCCUCCCUUUGCAGAGAGCGGUGACUUCCCCUGAGGUGUUUUGAGCAGAUGGAUGUGGGUGGCACUGGCCCAAGCCCCCAGGCCCGUCACUGAGAGAGACUCGUGAAGACCAGAAAAGCUCUCUGUCGACCUUGGGACUUGUCUGAGAGGGAACAGCUGCCAGGGCUGUCAAACGUGGAGCCGUGUUAAAGGAAUUAUGACAGGAAGAGCUCUGCCAUCAAGCAUUCUAAUAGCUGCUGCUUACUUCCAGGCAUCUCAGUCUAGAAUCCUACCACCUGUGUAACGGGCAAUGAGAACACUUGCGUUUAAUGUUGAACCCAACAAAUGCAGGAUUUCCCGAAGCCGGGGCCAUGGAGCACCAGGCCCAAGGCCUCCUCCAGAAAAGAGUGCUGAGUGGUCAAGAAAGUUUGGAAAAUACUCUCCCCACCUCUAGUGCACGUAGGUGCCUCGUGCGACUGGUCCCAGUCGUGUUUUGUCGUUUAGCCUUGGCACUCCAGCUAUACUUCCUCUUGCGCUUGGCGCGGUAGCUGCCCUUGCCGCAGGUGGACUCCUGCAGGUGGUGGGCCUUCCAGCCGCAGAGGCAGCACAGCAUGUGUGUCUGGUUGCGGCGCUUGCCGAACGAUGACGUCCCCUUCGUCAUCUUGCUUCUGCUGCCGAGACC